UACAGAGGGUGCGAGCGUUGUUCGGAAUUAUUGGGCGUAAAGGGCGCGUAGGCGGCGCCACAAGUCACUUGUGAAAACUCUGGGCUCAACUCAGAGCCUGCAAGCGAAACUGUGGUGCUGGAGUAUGGGAGAGGUGCGUGGAAUUCCCGGUGUAGCGGUGAAAUGCGUAGAUAUCAAGAGGAACACCUGAGGUGAAGACGGGUUGCUGGGCCGACACUGACGCUGGAGCGCGAAAGCCAGGGGAGCAAACGGG
rnacentral:rRNA from 1 species